UUGCACGCUGGCGGCAGGCCUAACCCAUGCAAGUCGAGCGGAUGAAGGGAGCUUGCUCCUGGAUUCAGCGGCGGACGGGUGAGUAAUGCCUAGGAAUCUGCCUGGUAGUGGGGGAUAACGUCCGGAAACGGGCGCUAAUACCGCAUACGUCCUGAGGGAGAAAGUGGGGGAUCUUCGGACCUCACGCUAUCAGAUGAGCCUAGGUCGGACUAGCUAGUUGGUGGGGUAAGGGCCUACCAAGGCGACGAUCCGUAACUGGUCUGAGAGGAUGAUCAGUCACACUGGAACUGAGACACGGUCCAGACUCCUACGGGAGGCAGCAGUGGGGAAUAUUGGACAAUGGGCGAAAGCCUGAUCCAGCCAUGCCGCGUGUGUGAAGAAGGUCUUCGGAUUGUAAAGCACUUUAAGUUGGGAGGAAGGGCAGUAAGUUAAUACCUUGCUGUUUUGACGUUACCAACAGAAUAAGCACCGGCUAACUUCGUG
rnacentral:rRNA from 1 species